rnacentral:rRNA from 1 species
UCUUUAUGGGGUGACUGCGUACCUUUUGUAUAAUGGGUCAGCGACUUAUAUUCUGUAGCAAGGUUAACCGUAUAGGGGAGCCGAAGGGAAACCGAGUCUUAACUGGGCGUUAAGUUGCAGGGUAUAGACCCGAAACCCGGUGAUCUAGCCAUGGGCAGGUUGAAGGUUGGGUAACACUAACUGGAGGACCGAACCGACUAAUGUUGAAAAAUUAGCGGAUGACCUGUGGCUGGGGGUGAAAGGCCAAUCAAACCGGGAGAUAGCUGGUUCUCCCCGAAAGCUAUUUAGGUAGCGCCUCGUGAACUCAUCUUCGGGGGUAGAGCACUGUUUCGGCUAGGGGGCCAUCCCGGCUUACCAACCCGAUGCAAACUACGAAUACCGAAGAAUGUUAUCACGGGAGACACACGGCGGGUGCUAACGUCCGUCGUGAAGAGGGAAACAACCCAGACCGCCAGCUAAGGUCCCAAAGUCAUGGUUAAGUGGGAAACGAUGUGGGAAGGCACAGACAGCCAGGAUGUUGGCUUAGAAGCAGCCAUCAUUUAAAGAAAGCGUAAUAGCUCACUGGUCGAGUCGGCCUGCGCGGAAGAUGUAACGGGGCUAAACCAUGCACCGAAGCUGCGGCAGCGACACUAUGUGUUGUUGGGUAGGGGAGCGUUCUGUAAGCCGUUGAAGGUGUGCUGUGAGGCAUGCUGGAGGUAUCAGAAGUGCGAAUGCUGACAUAAGUAACGAUAAAGCGGGUGAAAAGCCCGCUCGCCGGAAGACCAAGGGUUCCUGUCCAACGUUAAUCGGGGCAGGGUGAGUCGACCCCUAAGGCGAGGCCGAAAGGCGUAGUCGAUGGGAAACAGGUUAAUAUUCCUGUACUUGGUGUUACUGCGAAGGGGGGACGGAGAAGGCUAUGUCAGCCGGGCGACGGUUGUCCCGGUUUAAGCAUGUAGGCGGAGGUUCCAGGUAAAUCCGGUACCUUAUUAACGCUGAGGUGUGAUGACGAGGCACUACGGUGCUGAAGUGAUAAAUGCCCUGCUUCCAGGAAAAGCCUCUAAGCAUCAGGUAACACGAAAUCGUACCCCAAACCGACACAGGUGGUCAGGUAGAGAAUACCAAGGCGCUUGAGAGAACUCGGGUGAAGGAACUAGGCAAAAUGGUGCCGUAACUUCGGGAGAAGGCACGCUGAUAUGUAGGUGAAGCCCCUGCGG